GUAGGUGGCAAGCGUUGUCCGGAAUUGUUGGGCGUAAAGCGCGCGCAGGCGGUUCUUUAAGUCUGAUGUGAAAGCCCACGGCUCAACCGUGGAGGGUCAUUGGAAACUGGAGAACUUGAGUACAGAAGAGGAAAGCGGAAUUCCACGUGUAGCGGUGAAAUGCGUAGAGAUGUGGAGGAACACCAGUGGCGAAGGCGGCUUUCUGGUCUGUAACUGACGCUGAGGCGCGAAAGCGUGGGGGAGCAAACAGGAUUAGAUACCCUGGUAGUCCACGCCGUAAACGAUGAGUGCUAAGUGUUAGGGGGUUUCCGCCCCUUAGUGCUGCAGCUAACGCAUUAAGCACUCCGCCUGGGAGUACGGCCGCAAGGCUG
rnacentral:rRNA from 1 species